GGAUUUUUUUGAAAUGUGCGCCAGUCUUAUCACUGCUUUAGCCCGUUGAUAACCCACCACCGGUCUCUGUCUUUCUGUUACCGCACUGUGAAAUCACAUACACUCUUCAAAUUAUUACCGCACUCUCGGGUACCACAGGCUCUGCAAUAGAAGUUAUGUGAACAUUCCCAGGUGACAUGCAGUGCUGCUGGAAACACAGAAAUCUGGCCUUCUGUUUACUUUUAGAACUCUGUAACUCUGCUGUGCCUAUGAUAGGUAUCAAUAGCUAGGAACGGCUGAGUGCUGGUGAAGCUUGUUAACUUACACCCGUGAAUUCACUACACAUGGUGAGCACACCUCACUGAUGAACCCGCUGAUCUCGGGGUGGUUCGGUGGGACCGCCUUCCUUCACGUUUAGUUCAUGUAAAUCCUGUUUGCCUCCUAAAUUUCCAUAGGUGUCAGGCUGUCUAGGCACUCUUGGACAAGAAGAUUCAGAAAUAGAGUAACUGUCAGUGAAAUAUUAUUUAAAUGUAGAAAUCCGAAAAUCCUGUCCCCUUAAAUAUCAGAAACCAAAAGUCUUUUUUAAUACUUUCUGCAAAUACUGCCUAGUAUUAGCCAUACAGACUGUGUUUCUGAUAAUAGGAGCCCAGUCUCCUAGCUUCCUGACAUUUGUGCAAGGCCCCUAGUUAAAUCCCACUACCACAAAGCAAUAUAAAACCAUGCAAAGUUAGUGCAUAGUUAAAGGAAACAGGCAGAUACCAACAGUCUCUUAAAAGGAAAUCUAUUCUUUGAUCUCAUUUGUGUUUAUGAGACUGGGUAGCUGGGGGCUUGGGGGCGGGCUGGGAGUCACAGCCCUUGGGCAUCUUUGCUAAUCCACUUGAACUUUGUUAUUGAUGCCGAGUCCUCUCUCUUCCUCAGUAGCCACUGUCUUUGCUCAUUGCUUUUCCCUUUUUUAACUCCUUUAGAUCAAAACCUUGCUUUGGC
rnacentral:lncRNA from 1 species